rnacentral:rRNA from 1 species
GGAGGAUCCGAGCGUUAUCCGGAUUUAUUGGGUUUAAAGGGAGCGUAGAUGGGUUGUUAAGUCAGUUGUGAAAGUUUGCGGCUCAACCGUAAAAUUGCAAUUGAUACUGGCAGUCUUGAGUACAGUUGAGGUAGGCGGAAUUCGUGGUGUAGCGGUGAAAUGCUUAGAUAUCACGAAGAACUCCGAUUGCGAAGGCAGCCUGCUAAGCUGCAACUGACAUUGAGGCUUGAAAGUGUGGGUAUCAAACAGGAUUAGAUACCCUGGUAGUCCACACGGUAAACGAUGAAUACUCGCUGUUUGCGAUAUACAGCAAGCGGCCAAGCGAAAGCGUUAAGUAUUCCACCUGGGGAGU